rnacentral:rRNA from 7 species
AACUUUCAGCAACGGAUCUCUUGGCUCUCGCAUCGAUGAAGAACGCAGCGAAAUGCGAUAAGUAAUGUGAAUUGCAGAAUUCAGUGAAUCAUCGAAUCUUUGAACGCACCUUGCGCCCUUUGGCUAUUCCGAAGGGCAUGCCUGUUUGAGUAUCA